rnacentral:misc_RNA from 1 species
UGUGGGAGCGGGCUUGCCCGCGAUUGCGCUGUAUCAGUCGGCACAUUUGCUACUGAUCCACUGCAAUCGCGGGCAAGCCCGCUCCCACA